AUUGAACGCUGGCGGCAGGCCUAACACAUGCAAGUCGAGCGGAUGAAGGGAGCUUGUUCUUGAAUUCAGCGGCGGACGGGGGGGUAAGGCCUAGGAAUCUGCCUGGUAGUGGGGGAUAAGGUCGGGAAAGGGGCCCUAAUACCGCAUCCGUCCUGAGGGGGAAGGGGGGGGUUCUUCGGACCUAACGCUACCAGUGGAGCCUAGGUCGGAUUAGCUAGUUGGUGGGGUAAAGGCCUACCAAGGCGACGAUCCGUAACUGGUCUGAGAGGAUGAUCAGUCACACUGGAACUGAGACACGGUCCAGACUCCUACGGGAGGCAGCAGUGGGGAAUAUUGGACAAUGGGCGAAAGCCUGAUCCAGCCAUGCCGCGUGUGUGAAGAAGGUCUUCGGAUUGUAAAGCACUUUAAGUUGGGAGGAAGGGCAGUAAGUUAAUACCUUGCUGUUUUGACGUUACCAACAGAAUAAGCACCGGCUAACUUCGUG
rnacentral:rRNA from 1 species